CCUACGGGCGGCAGCAGUGGGGAAUAUUGCGCAAUGGGCGAAAGCCUGACGCAGCGACGCCGCGUGAGGGAUGAAGGUCUUCGGAUCGUAAACCUCUGUCAGCAGGGAAGAACGGUCACUGUGCUAAUCAGCAGUGAAUUGACGGUACCUGCAAAGGAAGCACCGGCUAACUCCGUGCCAGCAGCCGCGGUAAUACGGAGGGUGCGAGCGUUAAUCGGAAUUACUGGGCGUAAAGCGCUCGUAGGCGGUAUGUCAAGUCAAGGGUGAAAUCCCCGCGCUCAACGUGGGAACUGCCUUUGAAACUGGGAAACUGGAGUGUGUGAGAGGAUAGUGGAAUUCCAGGUGUAGGAGUGAAAUGCGUAGAGAUCUGGAGGAACAUCAGUGGCGAAGGCGACUAUCUGGCACAUAACUGACGCUGAGGAGCGAAAGCGUGGGUAGCAAACAGGAUUAGAUACCCCAGUAGUC
rnacentral:rRNA from 1 species